rnacentral:rRNA from 1 species
GAUGAACGCUGGCGGCGUGCCUAAUACAUGCAAGUCGAGCGAACGGACGAGAAGCUUGCUUCUCUGAUGUUAGCGGCGGACGGGUGAGUAACACGUGGAUAACCUACCUAUAAGACUGGGAUAACUUCGGGAAACCGUAGCUAAUACCGGAUAAUAUUUUGAACCGCAUGGUUCAAAAGUGAAAGACGGUCUUGCUGUCACUUAUAGAUGGAUCCGCGCUGCAUUAGCUAGUUGGUAAGGUAACGGCUUACCAAGGCAACGAUGCAUAGCCGACCUGAGAGGGUGAUCGGCCACACUGGAACUGAGACACGGUCCAGACUCCUACGGGAGGCAGCAGUAGGGAAUCUUCCGCAAUGGGCGAAAGCCUGACGGAGCAACGCCGCGUGAGUGAUGAAGGUCUUCGGAUCGUAAAACUCUGUUAUUAGGGAAGAACAUAUGUGUAAGUAACUGUGCACAUCUUGACGGUACCUAAUCAGAAAGCCUCGGCUAACUACGUG